ACUCAAAGGAAUAGACGGGGGCCCGCACAAGCGGAGGAACAUGUGGUUUAAUUCGAUGAUACGCGAGGAACCUUACCCGGGAUUGAAAUGUACCUGACGGACAGUGAGAGCUGUCUUCCAGCGAUGGCAGGUAUGUAGGUGCUGCAUGGUUGUCGUCAGCUCGUGCCGUGAGGUGUCGGCUUAAGUGCCAUAACGAGCGCAACCCUGACUGUCAGUUGCUAACAGGUCGUGCUGAGGACUCUGGCGGGACUGCCGGCGUAAGCUGUGAGGAAGGUUGGGAUGACGUCAAAUCAGCACGGCCCUUACAUCCGGGGCGACACACGUGUUACAAUGGCAUGGACAAAGGGUAGCUACCGGGCGACCGGAUGCUAAUCUCGAAACCAUGUCUCAGUUCGGAUCGGAGUCUGCAACUCGACUCCGUGAAGCUGGAUUCGCUAGUAAUCGCGCAUCAGCCAUGGCGCGGUGAAUACGUUCCCGGGCCUUGUACACACCGCCCGU
rnacentral:rRNA from 1 species